rnacentral:rRNA from 1 species
GUGUCAGCCGCCGCGGUAAUACGGGGGGGGCAAGCGUUGUCCGGAAUUAUUGGGCGUAAAGGGCGCGUAGGUGGAAUGGUAAGUUGAGGGUGAAAGCCCGGAGCUUAACUCCGGGUCUGCCUUCAAGACUGUCAUUCUUGAGUAUGGAAGAGGGAAGUGGAAUUCCCGGUGUAGCGGUGAAAUGCGUAGAUAUCGGGAAGAACACCGGUAGCGAAGGCGGCUUCCUGGUCCAUUACUGACACUGAGGCGCGAAAGUGUGGGGAGCAAACAGGAUUAGAAACCCGCGUAGUCC